UACGGAGGGGACUAGCGUUGUUCGGAAUUACUGGGCGUAAAGCGCACGUAGGCGGAUUUGUAAGUCAGGGGUGAAAUCCCGGGGCUCAACCCCCGGAACUGCCUUUGAUACUGGUAGUCUUGAGUUCGAGAGAGGUGAGUGGAAUUCCGAGUGUAGAGGUGAAAUUCGUAGAUAUUCGGAGGAACACCAGUGGCGAAGGCGGCUCACUGGCUCGAUACUGACGCUGAGGUGCGAAAGCGUGGGGAGCAAACAGG
rnacentral:rRNA from 1 species